GGGAAUCUUUGAACUUGAUUACCAAGGAGAUGGGAUGAUAAAUCCAUCCAGCCACUCCAAGAAGCCAAGUUAAGGGUCACUGCCUUCUUGUCGAACUUGAAUCUGCCUUCAAUUUAUUAAUGGAUCUGGUUGGUGGCAUCCACUGUUUACCAAGAGCCUUUCUACAAUCCACACUACUGGACUAACGCUUUCCCCUACUUCACUCUACUCUCAAGGGAUGGAAGCACUGAUGAAGAGCACAGACAGAAUCAAGUGUACAUGCAGAACAUAUGGUAACCAUAUAAAGGGAUGAUGUCAAAAUUCUCAGCCUCCUUGCUCUUCAGUAUCUUCUUCCCCUUUACCUCGUCUGGAUGGUGUAUAAUGAAGAGGCACCUAGCGGUGCCUCCUGCCUCUAGAGUAAGAUUCAAGGGAGGAUAUAUAGGCUCCUCCAUAGGGUCAAGAGGUUUUCAAAGGCUGUGUUGUCCCAUCCAGCUACCAAAACAAGAGACAAAAUUGUGACCUGGAGUUGAAACUCUAGUGAGUGAUAAAGAGGGGAAGUUUCCUAAAGCAGAAGUUCUCAGUCUGGGGGCUAUCUGUGUGUUGUGUACUGAAUUUUGUGUCCUCCCAAAAUUCAGACGUUGAAGCCCUAGUCCCCAUUGUGGUUGUAUUUGGAGGUGGGGCUUUGGGAGAUGAUUAGAAUUAGAUUAGUUCAUGAAGGUGAAGCCCUUCUGAUGGGAUUAGUACCCAUACAAGAAGAGACACAAGAUCCCUCUACCAAUUAUGCUAGCUCUCCUCUCUUUCUCUCUCCACCGUCUGGGAUACUUCAGGAAGAUGUCUGUCUGCAAACCAGGAAGAGGUCCCUCAAGCACUAAAUCUGCUGGCACCUUGAUCUUGGGCUUCCCAGCCUUUAGGACUGUGAGAAAUCUUUGCUGUUUAAGCAAUCCCAUCUAUGGUAUUUUGUUACAGCAGCCCAAGCUGACUAAGACACUGUGGAUACCUUGCAUGCCUGGGAGGCUUGCACAUCCUUGGACAUUAUAAGUAAUAUUUUUCUGAAAAGGGGUCAUAACUCUCAUCGGAGAGUCAAAAGACCAAGUCUAUGACUCCCAAAAGAUUAUAUACCACUGACGGAGUGGCCCUUGUGUUCUUAUCCUGUAGAACCACAAGAAACUUGAGGAUUGGGGAUCCUAGUCCUGGCCUUCAUUCCGUACUUGCAUGACCAACAUCUAAGAGUACUAACAAAUAUGAUGAAAUAAGAAAGAUUCAAGAGGAUACACAUAUUUUCUUUGUCCAAUGUUGCUAAUAUCCACCUGAGAGUUUAUUAUCCAUAAUAAAAUGUGGAAUCCAGUCUGUACACCAUGAUCCUUAGCAUGCACUUGUACUGUUUCCUAUAAGCUUUUAAUAAUAUCAACCUUAGAUUCCAAGGAACCUAAAUCACUGGGCCUAACACUACCACUGAUUUUUUCCCCACUUCCCCUCCAGUAUUAUGGUGUAUUCCAAAGCCAAAUAUAAUUUUUUGGUGGCUCGUUGUGAUUAAUUUCUGUUCCACUGAGCCUAUCCAUAGAACAGGCAAUGCAACUUUGGAAAAAACGGUAGUCUAACUUAUUUUUGCAUCAUAUAGACUGUACAGCAAAGGUGAAGGGACCAAUAUGAGUAUUACUGGGGCACCGAGGGAAAACAUUUUCAGAAGAGAUCAAGAAAAAUGUGACUCAACAUGAAUGAACCCUGAAAACAUUAUGCUAAGUGAAAGAAAGCAAACGUGAAAGACCAUACGUUGUAUGAUUCCAUUUACAUGAAAUGUCAAGAAUAGGCAAAUCCAAAGAAACUAAAGUAGAUGAGUGAUUGCCAGGGGAUAAGGGAAGAGAGAAAGGGGAGUCACUGCUAAUGGACAUGGGCUCUCUUUUUGGGGUAAUGAAAAUGUUUUGAAAUUAGAUAGUGGUAGUGGUGUACAACUCUGUGACUGUACCAAAAACCACUGAGUUGUACAAUUUUAAAGGCUGAAUUUUAUCAUAUAUGAAAUAUAUCUCAGUUUUUAAAAAGAAGAAAAAAGAUGUUAUUCAAAAAGGAUUCCUCACAGUUAUAGCUCAGUCACUUAUUUGGCAAUUAAUUUGGGGGCACAGUCUUGAGAUAGUUCUAUGUAUAGGUCCAUGCUGCUUAAACUCCCUGACUCCACCUCAGCCAAUGGAUAUUAUCUUACUGGCUUUUCUGUUU
rnacentral:lncRNA from 10 species